AAAAAAAAAAUGUGUUAGAAUCUACCAAAGAGAUGAUUGAUCAGAUAUUGUGGGUAGAAGACAGUGGUCAAGGAGACUCGGUCUCUGGCUAGGGCAUUGGGGAUUUUGCCCAUGAACUCUGAUCUAGAAUCCAAGUGGAGGAGUGGGCUGCUGAGAGGGAGAUAAGUUCCGUCUGGGAUAAGCGAGUCUGAGGUGUGUGGGGGCUGUGCAGGUCGUGGUGAGUUUGAGGCUUAGGGUCAAAUGAGCACUAUAGCAAAAGUCAGGCCAUGUAUCCUAACCAGCUCAGGAAAGCAAUCCGGGUUGACUAGAAGUGGAGCUUAGUCUGCAGCCAAGCAGAGAGGGACAACAGCAAGGACACCCAUUAGACCUGCCUAAUUUAUGUUCUGGAACUUGGAAAAGGAUCCAGGGGUCUGAGAAGAUCACAGGCCAAAUUCAGCAGUGGCACUAGGAGCAUCAGCCAGGGGCACUUGGCCACUAACCAGAAGUCAACUCAGGAUGUAAAGGGAGCCCAACAGAUUUGAGAGCAGGUGUACUUAACGGACCUCAAGUCGCCAAGGCUGGGCCUCUUCUCUAAAACUCUCCCUAAGUCCAUCUUUCCUUGCCCAGGGGACCCUGGCUGGGCCCUUUCACAUUCAGGAUCCCAAUGGUCCCUCGGUAGUUCCCAUCGGACAGGAGAGGAAACCCAAGUCUGGGAGGCGGGGAGGCUGUGGGGCUGAAGCCGGGCUGGCUCCCGCAGGCCUGUCCCUGGGCCCAGCAUGGCCCUGGGAGGCAGGGACCAGUGUGACCUCAGGGGCCGGUGCGUUCGCUUUUGUGGUCUCCCUUUUUCUUUUUCCUUCUGAGGAACAAUUCCUUUUGGUCAAAUCACCUGAGUAAAAGUGUCUGCUCUUCAGAAACCUCCCCCUUCCCCCUGCAGGCAUGGACAUUCUGGGAGCUGCCUCCAGGGGUCACAGAGGGUCAGGCAGCUCUGUGGGGUGGCUCUCCUCCCCCAGCCCCACCCACUUCCCCUCGGCCUCCCCCUCCUGCCAAGCUCCAGCAGCCUCCAGCACCCACUGAGGUCCAGCCUCCCCUUGAGGCCUCUCUGCCUCCCUUUUGCCAUUCAGCUCAAAUGAUGGGGAGCAGGAGGUGAGAGAGAAGAAGAGGCCGGGGCAGCCUCUGAAAUGGAACAGCACAUACCGUGUGGUCCCCUCUGUCACCUUCCAUGUGUCAGUAACCACAGAGAGAAGGGACGUGCCAGGCUGCAGGCUACCGUGCAGAGAAGGAGAGGAGGAGGAGGUGAUGUCACCCAGGAAUGAAGCAAGCAGGCUGCAGAUAACAUCGCCCAGAGGCUGCUGCAGGCGAGCCUUUGGUGUGUGCUGGUGGGUGUGCCCGGUGAGGUCCCCGCCGCGUCCUGCCGCAGCUCCAGGUAGAGAGAUUGCUAACAGCGCAGCAGUCGCUCCCCUGCGGUCGGACAACUGUCUGUGGAGGCAACACCGGAUGGCAAACUGCUAACCGCAGCCACAUGGCGUCCUCCUGGAAGAUACAGCCUGUUCCCCUGCGACAGGCACCUGCAGACCUGCUCCCCCAACCCUGCUGAGGGGCCAACGCUGUGGCAUUCUUCCCCAUCCCCAGGGGUGCCAUGGAUAGUUGUCCAAGAUGAGAACUGCGCAACUGGAGAGGGCACGGUUUAUUUUGUCAGGCCGAGGGGCUGUGCAGGGUGGCCCUGCCACUUCCCUUUUCUAAAUUACUUCUCAUUCCCCUUCUCCGCCUAGAAUUAUCUGUUUGACUUGCCCUUGAUAAAUUUGUCCUCACAAAAAAACUCCCCCCCUCCACUGAGGCUUCUUCUUUGACCACCUCCCUCCCCCUAUUCAUUUAUUUUCUUCAUUCAUGGAACAAAAAGUACUGAGUCUGUCCAAGUUACCGCGGGGGCUGGGGACGUCACUUAAUGUAGAGAGAUUGCCCUACACACGUAAGGCCCUGGGUUCCAUCCCCUGCACGACAAAAAUAAAAAUAAAAUAGUAAAAUAAAAUAACAGAUCACUGUUUUAGGCCAGGCACCAGACAGGCAGGGCCUCCCCGAGCUCUGCAGUUCCCCUCCUUGUUGAAGGAAGAAACGGUAAAGAAAUAACUUGAUGCCACCAAGGAAAACAGAGCCAAGCCAGCCGUGGGUGACGGGGCUCAGCUUCACCAAGGACGCUCUGGACAGGCUUCUCCUGAGGAGGUGGCCUCUGAGUGGAGGCCCGGAGGCAGGGAAGGAAGGAGCCUUCCCAGCAGAGCCCCUCCCAUUGGGCACCCAAUGCCAAAGAAAGUUCUAGAACCCAGCUGGGCUCUGCCAGGAACCUGAGGCAUGGCCUGGGGCCCUGGCUUCCCAGCCGGGGUGUCCAGUUUCCUCCUUGAUAAACUGGAGGCCUCACUGCCUGGCCCUGGGAGGGCACUUGCGGCAAGUUCUCUCACCAGUGGGCAAGAGGAGCUUCACAACAGGGGCCUGAGUGGAAAACCCAGCUCAGUCACCCACCCACGGGCUGUGUGAGCCCAGGCAGGUUCCUUAGCCUCUCUGAGCCAGUUUUUUGCCCUAUAAAAUGCCAGGUUGUUGUGGAGGAUUAAAUGAAGGUGUGGCCAUGAAAUCACCUCG